UGUGAUUUUCUGGGAAUCAUGAUAUCCCUGUGACAUUUGGGAUAUAGUGAGACAUUUGGGCAUGCUUUGAGUUCAACAUCUCUGAUGAAGGACUUCUUUCUUUGUUAAAGGUAUCAUUGAGGAUGAAUGGUCACAAAUCCAAAAAUAAAUGUAGCAUUCCACAAUCUAAAGGAAGUAAGUGAGCUGUUGUUUCUUCCUCGAACCUCCUUCACCAUACAAAUCAUUCCAGUGCUUCAACUCAUUCAUUACAGAUCCUUCUGAUGCAAAACUUGCAGCCUCUUGCAUUUAAUCAGAUAUCCGUAAGUUCAUGAAUUUACAAAGUUUACCGCAAACCCAACAUCUUUUUUAAAGAGGCAAAAAUACUCAAAUAAAUAAUCACUCAAUUUAUCUUUUUUAUGUUUCAUGCAUCUUAUGUUGGGUUUCUGACUUAUUUGAUGGUGUUUGAAUAACAUGUGAGUAAAUUUUGCUAAUGUUGUGGUAGGUCUCCAACUUUCUUUACUUGGUAACGUUUAUCACAACCAAAAUCUUUUCUGAAAAGGGAGUCAAAAUGUUCAAAUAAAUGAGCAUUCAAUUCUUUUUUUUUUCCUGAAUGAAUAUUACACAUUACUCGAAUCGUUUUAAUGCUUUAAGCGAUUCUCUCUAUUAUAUUUUUUAAAAUUCAAUAUCAUUUCAAGGUUUAACACUUUAACGACUCUUAUUCACACAAUUAAAUACAAAUCAUUCAAAAAAAGAUAAAAUCAACCAACACACAAGUUAUUUUUUACCCAAAGAACUACAUAAGUCUGAUUUUCUCAUUACACAUGAGGAUAUGUAUGAAUAAGGGAAAACCCCUUGUUGACCUAAAACACUAGGAAAAAAAAUAUGAAAUUUCCUCUUUACUAAAAAUAAAAAUUUGUUUUAAUUUUUAAAUUAAACAAAAUAUAGCAAACAUAAUUCAUGUUCUAAAGGGAAGAUAAAUAAUUAAGAAGUCGCUUUUAUUUUUAUUAGACUAAAUUAAAGGUUGUCAUCUUCAUGACGGAUAAGUGAGGUGUUAAUACCUUUCACGUAAAUAAUUUUUGAAUCCUUUUUUUUUCUCAAAUUGUAAAUCAUUUCAUAUUUUUUUUUUGCUUUUUUAACGUUUUCCUUAAAUAAACGUUGAUGACGACUUCUCAAUUUUCUUUUGAAAAACUCACUUGACUGCCACAUUGGGACAAUGACAAUAUUAUUUACAAAAGAAAUAAUAAUAAUAAUAAUGAUAAUAUGUUGUGGAAAACAUAAAUCAUAUUUCUUUUUUUUAAAGAAAAUAAAUUCAUAUUUUUUGUUUUCAGUGUUACUUACAAAAAUGCUACUUUUGAGUCCUAUUCUCAAAAUUUUAAAUAAGAGAGAAAAAUGUUGUAAAAAAGUAUACCAAAAAAGUUAUAAUUUUUUAUUCAAAAAAGAUAAGAUGUUACUUCCAUGUUUGGUUUGGUUUAAAAUAAAAAUUAUGAAACUUAAAAACUGAUUAUCAAAAAAUAACAAUAGGUUUGGGGAGUAGGCUCAUGCAUCGAUCAGUAAUAAAGAAAAAGCCAACACCUAUCAAAUUCUAAUUCAGAAUGUAAACAAAACUAAACCUGGAUUGGAUUAGAAAAAAAAUACUCAAACUAAAGUAAAAUCGUCGUUCAAGUAUAUAGUAUACACAUCUAGAGAAUCAGCACCAAAGUUUCAAGAUACAACCAUUAAGUUAGUUCCGGUUCAAGUUGUCAUUUCAGCAAACACUAUAAUUUUCAAAAGCAAAAACAAUUCUCCCUAAUUACCACCAAGUUUGGUUGGUGACAAAACUUAUAAGUUUGAAUGGUUUAAGACUUAGGAUUUUUUUCUGUGCAAGAUAUCAAGAUCAAUAAAUAUUGUCUGAAUUAUGAAUUAUAUACUAUCACAGAUUUAAUAAUAAAGUAGUCUUAUCAUUCUUAUAAUUAAAAGAAAAAAAUAUGUUAUCUUUUAUUUUUUAUAUAAAAGACCGUACGUAGGUAGUAUAUUAUACAGAACUUACAUAAGCACCACUUUUGUUGACACAGAAUUCCUUCAAAAGAAAUUAUCAAUCAAAAUCAAUGAAGUAAUAGUCUGUAUAUUACGUUAGCAAAAUAUAGACAAAGGUCAAUGUGGGUAUCUUGCGAAUUUUCUAAGUCUUUUUGUUUUGUUCCCAAGUACAAAGUCUAUUUAUGGGUCAUGUCACUUCACAAAAUUUUCCACAUUUGUUGUUUAGCGCAAUGACUGGAAUCUUAAAUUCUAAGUCUUUAUGGUUUUGUUUGGUUCCUACAUAGUCAUAUAAAUGGUCAUGUCACUAUAAAAAAAAUUUCACAUCUAUUAUUUUUGUAGGUAGUGCGAUGACUGGAGUAUUUUCUACGUCUUUCUUUGUUUUGUUCCAAUGGAGUCGUGUAAGGAC
rnacentral:lncRNA from 1 species